rnacentral:ribozyme from 1 species
AAUGAUACUAAAGAAAAAAGAAGAAAAAAAAAAGAAGAAAAAAAAACAAUACUUGCAAGU